CAGUCGCCACGGGAAUACGUAGGGUGCGAGCGUUAAUCGGAAUUACUGGGCGUAAAGCGUGCGCAGGCGGUUAUAUAAGACAGAUGUGAAAUCCCCGGGCUCAACCUGGGACCUGCAUUUGUGACUGUAUAGCUAGAGUACGGUAGAGGGGGAUGGAAUUCCGCGUGUAGUAGUGAAAUGCGUAGAUAUGCGGAGGAACACCGAUGGCGAAGGCAAUCCCCUGGACCUGUACUGACGCUCAUGCACGAAAGCGUGGGGAGCAAACAGGAUUAGAUACCCCCGUAGUCCCUGUCUCUUAUAC
rnacentral:rRNA from 1 species